rnacentral:rRNA from 1 species
CGAACGCUGGCGGCGCGCCUAACACAUGCAAGUCGAACGAGCGAGAGAGAGCUUGCUUUCUCGAGCGAGUGGCGAACGGGUGAGUAACGCGUGAGGAACCUGCCUCAAAGAGGGGGACAACAGUUGGAAACGACUGCUAAUACCGCAUAAGCCCACGACCCGGCAUCGGGUAGAGGGAAAAGGAGCAAUCCGCUUUGAGAUGGCCUCGCGUCCGAUUAGCUAGUUGGUGAGGUAACGGCCCACCAAGGCGACGAUCGGUAGCCGGACUGAGAGGUUGAACGGCCACAUUGGGACUGAGACACGGCCCAGACUCCUACGGGAGGCAGCAGUGGGGAAUAAUGCACAAUGGGGGAAACCCUGAUGCAGCGACGCCGCGUGGAGGAAGAAGGUCUUCGGAUUGUAAACUCCUGUUGUUGAGGAAGAUAAUGACGGUACUCAACAAGGAAGUGACGGCUAACUACGUG